rnacentral:ncRNA from 1 species
GUUUCAGGGCAGGGUGCAAUUCCCUACUGGCGGUGAUGGGCAGGGCCCUCAGUCCGCGAGCCGCGCAAGGCGGCCGACCUGGUGAGAUCCCAGGACCAACGGUCACAGUCCGGAUGGAAGAAA